rnacentral:rRNA from 1 species
GACGAACGCUGGCGGCGCGCCUAACACAUGCAAGUCGAACGAGCGAGAGAGAGCUUGCUUUCUCGAGCGAGUGGCGAACGGGUGAGUAACGCGUGAGGAACCUGCCUCAAAGAGGGGGACAACAGUUGGAAACGACUGCUAAUACCGCAUAAGCCCACGGGUCGGCAUCGACCAGAGGGAAAAGGAGCAAUCCGCUUUGAGAUGGCCUCGCGUCCGAUUAGCUAGUUGGUGAGGUAAUGGCCCACCAAGGCGACGAUCGGUAGCCGGACUGAGAGGUUGAACGGCCACAUUGGGACUGAGACACGGCCCAGACUCCUACGGGAGGCAGCAGUGGGGAAUAUUGCACAAUGGGGGAAACCCUGAUGCAGCGACGCCGCGUGGAGGAAGAAGGUUUUCGGAUUGUAAACUCCUGUCGUUAGGGACGAUAAUGACGGUACCUAACAAGAAAGCACCGGCUAACUACGUG